GCGCCUUUAGCUCAGUUGGUAGAGCAGUAGACUCUUAAUCUAUUUGUCCAGGGUUCGAGUCCCUGAAGGCGCA
rfam:Clostridium hathewayi CAG:224 genomic scaffold, scf29